rnacentral:tRNA from 1 species
GGAGGGGUGGCCGAGUGGUUAAAGGCGUCAGACUGUAAAUCUGAUCUGUAAUGGUACGUUGGUUCGAAUCCAACCCCCUUCACCA